rnacentral:rRNA from 1 species
GACAGAGGGGGCAAGCGUUGCUCGGAAUCACUGGGCGUAAAGGGCGCGUAGGCGGGAUGGCAAGUCGGUCGUGAAAUCCCUCGGCUCAACCAAGGAAGUGCAUCCGAAACUGCAGAGCUUGAGUACCAAAGAGGAUCGCGGAAUUCCCGGUGUAGAGGUGAAAUUCGUAGAUAUCGGGAGGAACACCAGUGGCGAAGGCGGCGAUCUGGGUGGAUACUGACGCUGGGUGCGAAAGCGUGGGGAGCAAACAGG